GAGACUCCAUGUUUUGUUUGGUCAUCUCCAUAAAGGACUGCAUGGUGUCCUCGAGAGACGGUUUCUGCGGUUGAGCUUGCUUCUGAAACUGUUGAGGAGCAUUCUGGUAUUGCUGCUGCUGCUGAAAAUUCCCUUGUUGCAUAGGGAACUGUUGAUACUGCUGGGGCUGCUGCUGCUGAUAAGCUUGAGUGUAGUUCUGCUGCUGAGCUCUCCAACCCGAAUUGGAGCUUUGUUGCCCUUGAUUAAAGAUAGGCCUCUGUUCAAAUUGAGGCCUCCCCGGAUAGCUCUGAGCAGCAUAGACCUCUGCUUCUCCUUCAGGUGUGA
rnacentral:lncRNA from 1 species